GACGAACGCUGGCGGCGUGCUUAACACAUGCAAGUCGAACGAAGAGCGAUGGAAGCUUGCUUCUAUCAAUCUUAGUGGCGAACGGGUGAGUAACGCGUAAUCAACCUGCCCUUCAGAGGGGGACAACAGUUGGAAACGACUGCUAAUACCGCAUACGAUCUAAUCUCGGCAUCGAGGAAAGAUGAAAGGUGGCCUCUAUUUAUAAGCUAUCACUGAAGGAGGGGAUUGCGUCUGAUUAGCUAGUUGGAGGGGUAACGGCCCACCGAGGCGAUGAUCAGUAGCCGGUCUGAGAGGAUGAACGGCCACAUUGGGACUGAGACACGGCCCAGACUCCUACGGGAGGCAGCAGUGGGGAAUCUUCCGCAAUGGACGAAAGUCUGACGGAGCAACGCCGCGUGAGUGAUGACGGCCUUCGGGUUGUAAAGCUCUGUUAAUCGGGACGAAAGGCCUUCUUGCGAACAGUUAGAAGGAUUGACGGUACCGGAAUAGAAAGCCACGGCUAACUACGUG
rnacentral:rRNA from 1 species